rnacentral:rRNA from 1 species
AUUGAACGCUGGCGGCAUGCUUUACACAUGCAAGUCGAACGGUAACAGGCCUUCGGGUGCUGACGAGUGGCGAACGGGUGAGUAAUGCAUCGGAACGUACCCAGAGGCGGGGGAUAACGCAGCGAAAGCUGUGCUAAUACCGCCUGUGCACUGAGGAUGAAAGCGGGGGACCGCGCACCAUUGUUUGGCCUCGCGCCUUUGUAGCGGCCGAUGUCGGCUUAGCUAGAUGGGGGGGGAAAGGCCUACAAAGGCGACGAUCCGUAUCUGGUCUGAGAGGACGGACAGCCAGACUGUGUGUGAGGCACGGCCCAGACUCCUACGGGAGGCAGCGGUGGGGAAUUUUGCACGAUGGGCGCGAGCCGGAUCCAGCAAUGUCGCGGGCGGGAAGAAGGCCUUCUGGUUGUAAACCGCUUUUGGCAGGAACGAAACGGUGUCCGCUAAUACCGGGCGCUAAUGACGGUACCUGCAGAAUAAGCACCGGCUAACUCCGUG